AUUGAACGCUGGCGGCAGGCUUAACACAUGCAAGUCGAGCGGAAACGAUGAUAGCUUGCUAUCAGGCGUCGAGCGGCGGACGGGUGAGUAAUACUUAGGAAUCUACCUAGUAGUGGGGGAUAGCACGGGGAAACUCGUAUUAAUACCGCAUACGACCUACGGGAGAAAGGGGGCAGUUUACUGCUCUCGCUAUUAGAUGAGCCUAAGUCGGAUUAGCUAGAUGGUGGGGUAAAGGCCUACCAUGGCGACGAUCUGUAGCUGGUCUGAGAGGAUGAUCAGCCACACCGGGACUGAGACACGGCCCGGACUCCUACGGGAGGCAGCAGUGGGGAAUAUUGGACAAUGGGGGAAACCCUGAUCCAGCCAUGCCGCGUGUGUGAAGAAGGCCUUUUGGUUGUAAAGCACUUUAAGCAGUGAAGAAGACUCCUCGGUUAAUACCCGUGGACGAUGACAUUAGCUGCAGAAUAAGCACCGGCUAACUCUGUGCCAGCAGCCGCGGUAAUACAGAGGGUGCAAGCGUUAAUCGGAAUUACUGGGCGUAAAGGGAGCGUAGGUGGCUCGAUAAGUCAGAUGUGAAAUCCCCGGGCUCAACCUGGGAACUGCAUCUGAUACUGUUGAGCUAGAGUAUGUGAGAGGAAGGUAGAAUUCCAGGUGUAGCGGUGAAAUGCGUAGAGAUCUGGAGGAAUACCGAUGGCGAAGGCAGCCUUCUGGCAUAAUACUGACACUGAGGCUCGAAAGCGUGGGUAGCAAACAGG
rnacentral:rRNA from 1 species